rnacentral:pre_miRNA from 1 species
AAAAAGAUAAACUCUGGGUUUCCAUGUCCAAUGUUUGACCAUCCAUCUUAUUUGAAAAAAUAUUAAAAAAAUUAAAAAGACAAGUCACGUAUAAAGUAUUAAUCAUGUUUUAUCAUCUAACAACAAUGAAAAUACUAAUUAUACAAAAAUUUCAUAUAAGACGGACAGUCAAACGUUGGACACGGAAAUCCAUGGUUUAUCUUUUU